CAUUUUUAACCGAGUCUGCCUCAGC
rnacentral:piRNA from 1 species